AAGAAUCUCUUUGAUUUAAGGAGUUUUUCGACUCAGAAUCGGAGGAGAGAGAGAAUCUGAGAGAAAGAAGAGAGAGAGAGAGAGAUAUGAAGAAAUCCGGAGGUGCAGAGAAGGAGAAGGAGCAAGGGUCGUCCGGAGCUGUUCAAAACGGUGGCAGAGAUCCCAAUUCCGAUACUCCUCCUUGGAAAAUCUUAUCAGCUGAACUUGAUAGUUUCUGUAAAUGACACACUACGCUGAA